rnacentral:rRNA from 1 species
GACAGAGGGUGCAAACGUUGUUCGGAAUUACUGGGCGUAAAGCGCGUGUAGGCGGCUAAGUAAGUCGGGCGUGAAAUCCCACGGCUCACCGUGGAAGUGCACUCGAAACUGCAUAGCUAGAGUCCUGGAGAGGAAGGUGGAAUGCUUGGUGUAGAGGUGAAAUUCGUAGAUAUCAAGCGGAACACCGGUGGCGAAGGCGGCCUUCUGGACAGUGACUGACGCAGAGACGCGAA